AUGUUUGUAGCACAAAAUAUCCUUUUUCACUCUCAUUAUGUCACAAGUGGACAGGCUCCCAGAGGCAGGGCCAUAAAAGACCCCAGCUCACUCGACUGCCCCUCCCCUCUCCAACAGCCAUCAGCCCAGAGCAGCAUGAAGACAGGCCCCCAGAGGCAGGGCCAUAAAAGACCCCAGCUCACUCGACUGCCCCUCCCCUCUCCAACAGCCAUCAGCCCAGAGCAGCAUGAAGACAGGCCCCCAGAGGCAGGGCCAUAAAAGGCCCCAGCUCNNNNNNNNNNUUUCUACCUGUGCAAUAUCAUGGAUUCAGAGCUAUCUUUCUAAUUGAACUGAGUGUUUUCUUUAAUGGAAGCUUCUCUAAUGUCAAAGCCCAUCUACUCUUUUUUUUCUAUUUUUACCAAUGACCUACCACUGGCAAUAAACAAAGCAUGUGUCCAUGU
rnacentral:lncRNA from 13 species